rnacentral:rRNA from 1 species
CGAAGGUGGCAAGCGUUACUCGGAAUUACUAGGCGUAAAGCGCAGGUAGGCUGUUCGACAAGUCCGUAAUGAAAAUCUCCCGGCUUAACUGGGAGGGGUUUAGGGAUACUGUCGGGCUUGAGUGUGGUAGAGGUAACUGGAAUUCCUGGUGUUGCGGUGAAAUGCGUAGAGAUCGGGAGGAACACCUAUGGCGAAAGCAGGUUACUGGACCAAUACUGACGCUGAGCUGCGAAAGCUAGGGGAGCAAACAGGAUUAGAUACCCUGGUAGUCCUAGCCAUAAACGAUGCAGACCAGAGGUGGGGGGUAUCGACCCCCUCCGCCCCGAACUUAACGGAUUAAGUCUGCCGCCUGGGGAGUACGGCCGCAAGGUUG